rnacentral:lncRNA from 1 species
GUGCGUAUGGAUAAACCACGAUUUUAUUUAUAUUUAUGCUAACGAACUAUGUAGCGAUAAGGGCAUGAGAUGUAAACAUGGAAAUCUGAGUGAGAAUUAAAAAAGGAACCACUAAAAAGGCCGUUGUUCUACCUACAUGAAGUGGUCCUUAUAACAACUAUAACAGGCUAUCAUAGUAUCGAAUCUGCCUUUGCUUCUACUGUCUGUCACCAGUGACAACUGCGUUAGUCAAGUGGCAGACGGAAUGCGGCAGAAUGAUUAAAAGUUCGAGACAUUUUUAUGCAAAACCCUUGGCGCCUAUCCAAAGAUCUCAAUUCGUCAAUAAAAACUUCGUUUAUGGAAUAAACGCCGGAACUUAAAAUGGAACAGAUGUCAUGUCGUUCGGGUUUUAGUUUCGUUAAUUGCCGAAAGGAUGCGUCUUGUAAAUCUGUCGCCGUUGCACGAAUUAAAAGUGGCAAUUUACGCGAAUGCCAAAAUUUUUAUCGUUUUGCUCUUCCUCGCCAGUUUAUUUCGUCGCUGUGCUUAAGAUAACAAGAAGCUUCGAACGUUUCGCCUGGAGUUAUGCAAAGUUUCGAGUGUUGUCGAUGGAUUUUAGUCGUCGUCUUCGAAAGUUUGCAAACAGAAACAAAAGAAAAAUAUAUCGUGGUGGAGUCCGAAAAUCUAACUUGAAGAUUGAUUGCUUUGCUGAAAGUCAAAUCGAUCCAUCUAUAUAACCUUCUUUUUACCUGUACCGUAACAAUAAAUAAUCGAUACCAGAACGACGUUCUCUCGGGAUAACCGAAAUCUUAUAAAAAAAAAAAUCUACAAACAAUACCUUACCCUUAACAUCUGUAACUAGC